GGACUCAGUGUCCCCCCACCCCAAGGCCUGGGUUCUGACACAGGCUCUGCGGCCACACACUUCUUGUGUGAUCUUGGGCAAGUCAUCGUGUUCUCUGAGAAAUUACAUUGAUUACUGAGGAGGAGUUGCGUGCAGAGGAUCCCUGAGAGCUCUGGAAGAACUUGUUGGAAGUGGGUUUUUGGAAGAAGAAACUGCAUGAGCAAAGAGACUGGGAAGUCCAAGAGCAUGGAGCUGGCAUCUGGAGAGGGCCCUUGGGCUGCAUCAUCCCAUAGUGGAAGGCAAAAGGGUAAGAGAUUGUGCAAGAGAGAACAAGAGGGAAGGGUGCUGAGCUCAUCCUUUUACCAAGAACCCAAUCCCACGAUAACCAACCCACUCCCAUGAUAAUGGCAUUAAUCAUUCCUUAAAGGUCCUACAUGUCACCACUCUUGCACUGGGGAUUACAUGUCCAAUAUGUGAACUCUGGGGGAUACAUUCAAAACUUAGCAGAGGGGAAGAGGCUCCCAGUGAGUCUUGCUCUUCUCUGAGUCUAGAGCAAACCUACCAAACACAGAAUCAUUGAUGACACAGAGACAAUGGCCCGACUCAUGGCCCUAUCUGCCACUCUAAGCCAUUGGACUCCUGUGAGCCUCACCAGGUUACACAGGGAAGCCCCAACCUGUGACUCACAAGAGCUCACUCCCAAGUCUGCUCUGCCAGAUGCUACGGUGGCUCUGGUUGUCACUAUUAUGUGGACUAUUAUGUCUACUGUGCACCUGCCAGAUAUCCUCUGGGUACAUUGGUGCCAUACCUUCACCCUGUGACUGGGGCGCAGGAGCCCUGGGGAUGCCCCACUCACCCUUCCAGGCAAGAAUGAGUCCUCCCAUUUUACAGAUGAGGUAACAGAGGCUCAGAGAGGCAAAGUGAUGGGCUGUGGGACACACAUCUGGAAAAUGGUACAGUCAGCACAUACACACGCACACAUCUGGCUGUGCUCUGGUUGCCUCUAACAAGCAUUUAUUGAGCCCCUGCUGUAUACCGAGCAUUUGUGAUAUUUGUGAGCAUAGUCAUUACCUACAUCCUCUCAUAGGCUGGAGGCAGCGUAAGAGGAAGGAGAUCCUCCUACAUGGCGUGAUGGGUGCAGCAGCAGCAGCAGGUGACACUCAUGCAAUGUGCCAGGCACACACCCAAGGAUGUCUCAUCACUCCAUGCCACAGCCCUGUGGUCACGUGGUGAACAUAGCUUGGGUGGUGAUGAGCAGCCAGCCUUGGUCCAGCCCCUGUUCUCAAGUGUGGGUGGUCUUGGGUUGACUGGGGUUGGGGGGAGGUUAGGAAACAAGCCCUGUGACCAUUGGACCUUUCUCAGGUAGUGGUGGGCGGUGUGAGCUUUAUGUCUUUGCUCUCAGGACAACACAGAGCAGCUGAUAAUGCUGCUGUUCAUUGACCCUGUGAUGGUACUGUGGUGUAGUUUAUACAAUUGAACCUUCGGAUUUCACUUACUACCUGAGGGUGGGUUUUUAAUGGUCUGUUAUUAUUAUCUCCAUUUUACAGAUGAAGAAAACUGAGGUUCAGAGAUUCUAAGUAGGGAGGAUUUGAAUCUGGCGCUUGAUUGCCAAGGCCUGUCCCCUAACUGCCUCCUGGUUCUCUGGGGAGGGAGGGAUGAGGCAGGUCAGGGGCUCUGGGCUGGCUUCCCAAAGGAGGAGGUGAGGGCUAGACUGAGACUUGACGGACAAGCAGGCGUGGGACUGAUGGAGCGCGUGUGUGUGUGUGUGUGGAGAGGGGGUGGCGGCUUGGGCAGGGCUUACUAGGUGGGGCCCAGCGGGGCUGGAAGGUGGGAGCAGGGGAGCCGGCUGCAAUCUCAGCUUGUCACCUGGGUUACCCUGUGUUAGUAAAAUCAAAGUGAGGUCACGCCCCCUCCUGCACUCAGAAGACUCCUGUGGCUCCACGUUGCAUGUGGAGGAAAAGCCGAAGUUCUGACAGUGGCCUGCCAGGCCCUGCCCUGGCUGACCCCGGCCACUCCUCUGACCUCAUGUCCAGUCUAGGUCCCCUUUGCUCACUGAGCUCAGGCCGUGCAUUCAGGAACCACGUCAGGGAUGCUCACGGCCCUUCUGCCUGCAAAGCUCUGCUCGGAGAUAUCUAGAGGGCCCCCUUACCUUGCCAAAUCUUUUCAUAGACAGGCCUUCCCUGACCAUCUUAUUUAAAAUUGUGACAUCCCCCUUUCCGCACCCCUGCCUCUCACACUCUCGCUUCCCCUUUCUUGGUUUAAUUGCUACUUUUUCACAGCACUUAUCAGCAUCUGACAUGCUAUGUAUUUUACUUGCUUAUUUGUUUAGUGCCUGGCAGUCCCUGUAAUGACGUCAGCUUUAACUGAGAUUUUGUCCAUGUUAUUCACUGCUAUAUCCCCAGAGCCUAGAACAAUGCCUGGCACAUACUAGGUGCUCAAUAAAAUAAAUUGUUGCCUAAAUAAAAAUACCAGCAAUGACCCCA